rnacentral:rRNA from 1 species
UACAGAGGGUGCGAGCGUUGUCCGGAAUCACUGGGCGUAAAGGGCGCGUAGGCGGCUUGAUAAGGUUGCGGUGAAAGCCCGGGGCUCAACCCCGGGUCGGCCGUGGCAACUGUCGAGCUGGAGCACUGUAGAGGCAGGCGGAAUUCCGGGUGUAGCGGUGGAAUGCGUAGAGAUCCGGAAGAACACCGGUGGCGAAGGCGGCCUGCUGGGCAGUGGCUGACGCUGAGGCGCGACAGCGUGGGGAGCAAACAGG